GCAUUAAUGGGGUAGUGGUAACCUGGGUCGUUGCCAUUGAGAAACCGGAUAGGAGUGUCUAACUAUCUCGACCCGCCGGGGGUUCGAUUCCCUCUUAAUGCA